rnacentral:tmRNA from 1 species
GGGGGUGACUGGUUUCGACAGGGUAUGUCUGAGACGGUAAGCAAGCCGUGGUCUCCUCGCCACGUUAAACAGGGGUAUCGUCAAAUGAAUUGACAAGACUGAUUCUUUUGAGGGCUAUGCCCUCGCUGCCUAACUAACUGUGCAGCCGUCAAUCCGCGGGUUGCUCCCGCUUGCGGUGCGACGUCAUUGAGGGAGAUGCUCGUACGGACGUAGCUGGUAUGCCGUACGAAAAGAUCGAACCAGCUAGGAAGCCGCGCGCUGGUUGCCAGGCGCAACGCAACCGAAUGCCAACUGGCAACUGAGCUUGGAGAAAGCCGUUAGGGAUGUGCUUUGGACCGGAGUUCGAUUCUCCGCACCUCCACCA